AUGUGGCCAAGCUACAAAGGGCGCAUGGGGGAUGUCUUGGCAUCAGGAGGCGACGAAGGGCGUGGAAGUCUGCGAAAAGCUCGGGGGAGUCGACAAACAGAUAUUGAUCCCGAGAUACCCGAAUUAGCGUACGAUGAAUUCAUAGUCGUACGUGGCUAACCCAGAGAACUGAAACAUCUCAGUACCUGGUGGAAGAGAAAGAAAAAUCGAUUUCGUCAGUAGCGGCGAGCGAAAGCGAAAUAGCCCAAACCGCGGGGGUUUCCCCUGCGGGGUUGUAGGGCCCUUCACAUGAGAGUCACAAAAUUGCCGACUAGCAGAAUGGCUUGGAAAGGCCAACCACAGAGGGUGACAGUCCCGUAAGCGAAAGACGAGCAAUCUCUCGAGGGGUACCUGAGUAGGUCGGGCCACGUGGAAUCCCGACUGAAUCUACGGGGACCAUCCCGUAAGGCUAAAUACUCCCUGAUGACCGAUAGUGAACUCAGUAUGGCGACUGAAAGAUGAGAAGAACCCCUGCUAGGGGAGGAAUGUGAACCUGAAACCAUGCGCUUACAAGCGGUCGGAGCACUAUGCCCCGUAAGGGGAAUGUGUGACGGCGUGCCUUUUGCAUAAUGAUCCGGCGAGUUACCGUCAGCGGCUUGGUUAAGGCCUUACGGGCCGAAGCCUCAGGGAAACCGAGUCUGAAUAGGGCGACUAUUGGUCGCUGGCGGUAGACGCGAAACCACGUGAUCUACCCAUGAGCAGGUUGAAGCGCAGGUUAUACUGCGUGGAGGACCGAACCCACUUGGGUUGAAAACCGAGGGGAUGACUUGUGGGGAGGACUGAAAGUGUAAUCAAACGUGGAGAUAUCUCGUUCUCUCCGAAAUAGCUUUAGGGCUAGCCUUGAGCCACUACGCAGUGGGGGUAGAGAUACUGAUUUGGUUUGGGGCCCUUCCCAGGGUACCCUGCUGAGCCAAACUCCGAAUACCAUUGCGACUAUCUCAGGAGUCAGUCCGCGAGGGAUAAGCUUCGCGGUCGAGAGGGAAACAACCCAGACUACCUGCUAAGGCCCCGAAGUCAUGCUCAGUCACUAAGGAAGUUGAAUUGCCGUGACAACCAGGAUGUUGGCUUAGAAGCAGCCACCAUUUAAAAAGUGCGUAACAGCUUACUGGUCAAGCAAUUCUGCGCCGAUAAUGAACGGGAGUAAGCAUGACGCCGAAGCAGUAGAUACAGUGAUUCUUCGGAUGAUCUGUGUGGUAGGAGAGCGCUGUACGUCAGAUACAAGCCAUACCGUAAGGAGUGGUGUCGGGGCGUACAGGUGAUUAUGCCGGAAUGAGUAACGAUAAGGCAGGUGAGAAUCCUGCCCGCCGAAAGCCUAAGGUUUCCUGGGGAAGGUAAAUCCGCCCAGGGUUAGCCGGUGCCUUAGUCGAGGCCGAAAGGCGUAGACGAUGGACAGCAGGUCAACAUUCCUGCGCCAGCUAUGUGGACCGAUGGAGGGACAACGCCCGAAAGGUGAGCGGUACGAGUAGAAAUGUCCGUCACUUCACGCAAGGCGACCGGUAGGUAAAUCCGCCGGUCAUCAACCAAGUGUGCGGUGCGAGCGCGUUUAUGUUCGCGAAGUCAUCGGAAGGGCGUUCAAGAAAAGCUCCUAAGGGUUGAAGCAUAACUGACCGUACUAAAACUGACACAGGUAGGCGAGACGAGUAGUCUAAGGCGCUCGGGAGAAUAGUGCUUAAGGAACUCUGCAAAAUGGCCCCGUAAGUUCGCGAUAAGGGGUGCCCUCGGCGGUGCAAGCUGCUGGGGGCCACAGUAAAUCGAUUCCUCCAACUGUUUAUCAAAAACACAGGUCUCUGCUAACUCGCAAGAGGAUGUAUAGAGACUGACGCCUGCCCGGUGUCGGUAGGUUAAGGGAGCAGGUUAGCAAUGUUUACAUUGCGAAGCUCGCGACCGAAGCCCCGAUAAACGGCGGCCGUAACUAUGACGGUCCUAAGGUAGCGAAGUUCCUUGUCGGGUAAGUUCCGACGUGCAUGAAAGGCGUAAUGAGAGGAAGACUGUCUCAAGCACUAACCCGGUGAAAUUGUAGUCGUGGUGAAGAUGCCACGUUCCCGCAGCUAGACGGAAAGACCCCGUGAACCUUGACUGUAGGCUGAUAUUGGGCUCGUGUAUUGACUGUGUAGGAUAGGUGGGAGGCUAUGAACCCUGGGCGCAAGCUUGGGGGGAGCCAUUGGUGAAAUACCACCCUUUUAAUGCAUAAGUUCUAACGCUGAUUCCUGUGAAUCCAGGCAGCGGACAGUGUCAGUUGGGCAGUUUGACUGGGGCGGUCUCCUCCUAAAGAGUAACGGAGGAGCCCAAUAGGCGACCUCAGCCUGGUUGGCAAUCAGGCAUCGAGCGUAAAGGUAUAAGGUUGCUAAACUGCGAGACCCAUGAGUCGAGCAGAUGUGAAAGCAGGGCUUAGUGAUCCGGUAGUCCCGUAUGGAAGGGCUAUCGCUCAACAGAUAAAAGGUACUCCGGGGAUAACAGGCUUAUCGCUCCCGAGCGUCCAUAGCGGCGGAGCGGUUUGGCACCUCGAUGUCGGCUCAUCACAUCCUGGGGGUGGAGAAGCUCCCAAGGGUUUGGCUGUUCGCCAAUGAAAGUGGUACGUGAGCUGGGUUCAGACCGUCGUGAGACAGGUCGGUCCCUAUCUACUGUGGGCGCACGAAACUUGAGGAGGUUCUUCUUUAGUACGAGAGGAUUUAGAAGGACGACCCUCUGGUGUUCCAGUUGUCGCGCUAGCGGCACGGCUGGGUAGCUAAGGUCGGAACGGAUAAACGCUGAAGGCAUCUAAGCGUGAAGCCCGCUCCAAGAUUAGGUUUCGUAGGGUAAUACCCGAAAGUCCCCUGGAAGACGACCAGGUAACAUAGGCCGGAUGUGUAAGUGCAGUAAUGCAUUCAGCUAACCGGUACUAACGGACGAACGCUUGGCCACAU
rnacentral:rRNA from 1 species